CAGGGUUCUGCAGCUUGUCACAAGCUCCAGCGCGCUGGACUAGCUGCUGGUGGGUGAAGAGGCGGGGGACUUGGGCGGCUCUGGCUGGCAUUCCCAGCAGACGGGACAGGUCCCAAGACUAUGACAGUCAGGAAGAAGCUGCGAAUGGAGUUGGAGUGAACGACUUUGUCGUAAAUCAAUUCUCUAAACGUCCAUCCAUCUAUAUAUGCAGGAGUUUACAAUCUUGAUGAAGAAAACGAUUCUGAAGAAGUAAAAACUUCAGUGACAAGCAAGAGGUGAUAAAAAUACGGAGUUGAAAUUGCCCAACCGGAUCUAUCCGGUUUUGGAGAGCUAUGCUGGUGACUUACCAACAUUGACCAGCAACCUCCUGGUCCAUUAUUCCAGCUGACCGGUUAGCAUUUGAUGGGCUUUUGAGAUAUUGUCUGGAAACUAAGAAAGGGAUCUGAACUAUGAAGAAGAGUGAUGUUGUCUUUUUUGGUAUUAUUGAAGCCACUGUAUGUGCAGAUACUAUUGAGUAAGAAAACCUAUAACGACAGAAAAAUCUAGACAGUCCACUGAGAAUGUAUUUAUGUAGAUGUGAAUCAUUUUCUGUGUCUUUUUCUCUUUCCUUCCAUUUUUUGCCUUUUGUACAUUUCAGUGUUGAAACAAAGUAGUGACUUAGUAGGCAACAGGCUUAACAACACUUUCUAAAACAUGGAUGUUAAGAAUUCAACAUUUUGUUUCUAUGAAAUAUUAGUGCACAAGAAGAUAAUGAAAAGUUGAAAUAUAAAAUAUGUUCCUAUCUGUGCAAUAUCUGUGAAACUAUACCUACUAUGUGGCAAGAUAUCUAUCACUUUUUUCUUAAGUAUUUCUAUUAUUUUGUAUAGUUUUAACAGUAUUUUUAAAACAUUUCUGGCUUGGGAAGUUAUGUGUUGGCUUCUUGGGGAAAGGGCAUAAAAUAACAAAUAUUUCCUAAACCUUAGAUAUAUUUGCAAUAAAAUAUAUUUUGCCUUAAGGUAAUAGGAAAAUAAACAUUUUUUGGAUGAAA